GGGAAGGUGGCUCAGUGGUAGAGUGCUUGCCUUGCGUGCAUGAGGCCCUGAGUUUGAUUCCUCAGCAGCACCA
rfam:Dipodomys ordii contig_66280, whole genome shotgun sequence.